AUCCAGCUGAAGAGUCCGGAAUAGGAUCAACGCGCGUCAUGGAU
rnacentral:hammerhead_ribozyme from 1 species